CUAAGGCGAGGCCGAAAGGCGUAGUCGAUGCACAUACGGUUGAAAUUCCGUAGCCACCUUAUCGAUAAAAGCUGACACAUAGAGAUAGCCGAACCCGGGCGUUGGUUGACCCGGGCGAAAGGGACCGAACUACAGUAGGGAAGUCGGCGAUGCUCUGUGGCGAGAAAAGGCGAAGGUAGGGUGCCCGUACCGCAAACCGACACAGGUAGAUGAGGAGAGAAUCCUAAGGCCAACGGGAGAAAGGUUGUUAAGGAACUCGGCAAAAUUGCCCCGUAACUUCGGGAGAAGGGGCGCCCUCGAAAGAGGGCCGCAGUGAAAAGGCCCAAGCGACUGUCUACCAAAAACACAGGUCUCUGCUAAAUCGAAAGAUGACGUAUAGGGGCUGACGCCUGCCCGGUGCUGGAGGGCUAAGAGGAGGACUUAGCGCAAGCGAAGGUCUGAAUUUAAGCCCCAGUAAACGGCGGCCGUAACAAUAACGGUCCUAAGGUAGCGAAAUUCCUUGUCAGGUAAGUUCUGACCCGCACGAAUGGCGUAACGAUUUGGGCACUGUCUCAACAGCCUACCCGGCGAAAUUGUAGUACCGGUGAAGAUGCCGGUUACCCGCAACUAGACGGAAAGACCCCAUGGAGCUUUACUGCAGCUUAAUACUGAGAUUCGGUAAUUCAUGUACAGGAUAGGUGGGAGACUUAGAAGCAGAGUCGUUGGGCGCUGUGGAGUCACCCUUGGGAUACCACCCUUGGAUUGCUGGGUUUCUAACCUGCGGCCAUGAAUCUGGUCGGGGGACACUGUUAGGCGGGCAGUUUGACUGGGGCGGUCGCCUCCUAAAAUGUAGCGGAGGCGCUCAAAGCUUGGCUCAGCAUGGAUGGAAAUCAUGCAAUGAGUGUAAACGUAUAAGCCAAGUUGACUGCGAGACCGACGGGUCGAGCAGGUACGAAAGUAGGAGUUAGUGAUCCGGUGGUAUGUGAGUGGAAAUGCCAUCGCUCAACGGAUAAAAGCUACCCUGGGAUAACAGGCUGAUCUCCCCCAAGCGUCCACAGCGACGGGGAGGUUUGGCACCUCGAUGUCGGCUCGUCGCAUCCUGGGGCUGUAUUCGGUCCCAAGGGUUUGGCUGUUCGCCAAUUAAAGCGGCACGCGAGCUGGGUUCAGAACGUCGUGAGACAGUUCGGUCCCUAUCUGUUGCGGGCGUAAGAGAUUUGAAGGGAGCUGUCCUUAGUACGAGAGGACCGGGAUGGACUGACCGCUGGUGCACCAGUUGUUCUGCCAAGAGCAUAGCUGGGUAGCUACGUCGGGACGAGAUAAACGCUGAAGGCAUCUAAGCGUGAAACUCCCCCUAAGAUAAGAUCUCUCAUCCUUUAUGGAGUAAGGCUCGUCGUAGACUAUGACGUUGAUAGGUCAGAGGUGGAAGCGCCGUAAGGUGUGUAGCUGACUGAUACUAAUAAGCCGAGGGCUUGAUC
rnacentral:rRNA from 1 species